AUCGCUUCUCGGCCUUUUGGCUAAGAUCAAGUGUAGUAUCUGUUCUUAUCAGUUUAAUAUCUGAUACGUCCCCUACCCGGGGACCAUAUAUUAAAUAGAUUUUUGGAACAGGGAGAUGGAAUAGGGGCUUGCUCCGUCCACUCCACGCAUCGACCUGGUGUUGCAGUAUCUCCAGGAACGGUGCACUCCCU
rnacentral:snRNA from 1 species